rnacentral:lncRNA from 1 species
AUAUAUUGAAUCUUAAGCUCUUUUUGGCCAAAGAUUGGGUCCCAGAAAGACCAGUCUUGCACACCUGUGCUUGCAAGGCUCUUGCAAGCACAGGCUGUCACUGAGGGGGGAGCUCGGCCUCACCUGGCCCCGUCCUGCAUUUGCACCCACGCACGGCCCCAGGUAAGUGUUCUCGACAGAUCCUGUUGAGCGAUAUUAAGUCACUUCCAACCAAUAUUGUAUCCAACUUUCAUUAGCCUCAGCUUCCAAAAUGUGUCUCCAUGUCAAAGUGAUACACACCCAGUAUUUUGAUACCAAUUCAGAAAAUUCCAUGAUUGAGAAUGCAUAGCCUAUCCCAUCUGAUUUCUGGAAACUCUUAAGACUGGAUGUAUGAAAUUUGAUGAAUGUACCAUUGAGCUUUCAACCAAUUAACAGGAAGUCUCUUGUUAUAGAUCUUUGUGAUAACGGGGGUCACAAUGAGUAGGGUUUUAUGGAUUCUUUCUCAGCAUUUUCUCUGAGAAAUCAUGGAAAAGUUAGUGACGUUGAUAUGAAUUAGUUUUGCUUGAGACUGAGCUUCAUGUCCUGAGCUGGGAGGGGGGCGGGUCACUGCACACAUCUCACGGGUCCACAGUGAAGCGGUGUAUUUUAUGUAACCAAUUAGACUUAUGUGAA